rnacentral:rRNA from 1 species
GUAGGGAAUAUUGGACAAUGGGGGGAACCCUGAUCCAGCCAUGCCGCGUGGAGGAAGACUGCCCUCUGGGUUGUAAACUCCUUUUAUAUGGGAAGAACCGUCCUCAUUAAUGAGUGACCUGACGGUACCAUAGGAAUAAGCACCGGCUAACUCCGUGCCAGCAGCCGCGGUAAUACGGAGGGUGCAAGCGUUAUCCGGAUUCACUGGGUUUAAAGGGUGCGUAGGCGGAUAAAUAAGUCAGUGGUGAAAUCAACUGGCUCAACCUGUUAACUGCCAUUGAUACUGUGUAUCUUGAAUAUGAGAGAGGUAGGCGGAAUGUUGCAUGUAGCGGUGAAAUGCUUAGAUAUGCUACGGAACACCGAUUGCGAAGGCAGCUUACUAUUUCGUAAUUGACGCUGAGGCACGAAAGCGUGGGUAGCGAACAGGAUUAGAAACCCUGGUAGUCC